rnacentral:lncRNA from 1 species
ACAUAGUUGUGUUGACUCACAAACUCAGAAACAGACACCAUGGUGCACCUGACUGAUGCUGAGAAGGCUGCUGUUAAUGGCCUGUGGGGAAAGGUGAACCCUGAUGAUGUUGGUGGCGAGGCCCUGGGCAGGCUGCUGGUUGUCUACCCUUGGACCCAGAGGUACUUUGAUAGCUUUGGGGACCUGUCCUCUGCCUCUGCUAUCAUGGGUAACCCUAAGGUGAAGGCCCAUGGCAAGAAGGUGAUAAACGCCUUCAAUGAUGGCCUGAAACACUUGGACAACCUCAAGGGCACCUUUGCUCAUCUGAGUGAACUCCACUGUGACAAGCUGCAUGUGGAUCCUGAGAACUUCAGGGUGAGUCUGAUGGGCUCCUCACUGGGUGUCCUUCCUGUGGCUUUCCUGCUCAAAUUCCUAUCAGAAGGAAAGAGGAAGCCACUCUAGGGAGCAGUUUUGAUGAUGAUGUGUGGAUGUGCCCUGUGGAGUGUUGACAGGAGUCCAGUUAUUUUAUCCUCUAUUCACAAUCACUUCUCCCUCUCACUCUAUUAUUCUAUGUUGUCAUUUCCUCUUUCUUUGGUAAACUUUUAAUUUUCAGAUGCAGUUUUUUCUUUUUAAAAAAAUUAAUUAACUGACUUAUUUACUUUCCAUCCCGAUCUCAGCUUCCCCUCUUCCUCUCUUCCCAGUCCUUCUCUCUGCUUUCUAUUACCCUACCUCUUUCUUUUCUCCUCAGUCCAUUUUCUCUUUUUUUAAUCAACUUUUUGUUUUCUUUUAAAUAUUUCUUAGUAACUUGCUCUGAGGACAAG